rnacentral:misc_RNA from 1 species
AAGUCGUAACAAGGUUUCCGUAGGUGAACCUGCGGAAGGAUCAUUAACACGUUAUACACGUAUCUACAUCUCCGCGAACUUAUUUUUCACAAGUUGGUUGGCCAGCGUAGCAAUGGAGGUAGAUUUUUACUAUGUCGACCUAAAAAACUCCUGGAUGUCCGGAGUUUCUUUGGUUGUUCUACCUGCCUAUCCGAAAUGCCUUCGUGUGUUUUGGGUAUUCUGGCUCAUAUGACUUGAAUCAUAGUAGUAUCUCUAUUAAACCUUUUUAUUAAUAUGUAAGAAUUUGUGAUGGCUGUGUUAAUUCGCAGCUCACGUUAAACAAACACUAUACAACUCUUAGCAACGGAUAUCUCGGUUCU